AGAGUUUGAUCAUGGCUCAGAUUGAACGCUGGCGGCAGGCCUAACACAUGCAAGUCGAACGGUAACAGGAUAGCUUGCUAUCGCUGACGAGUGGCGGACGGGUGAGUAAUACUUAGGGAUCUGCCUCUGUGUGGGGGAUAACUAUUGGAAACGAUAGCUAAUACCGCAUAAUGUCUACUGACCAAAACGGGCUUCGGCUCGUGCGCAAGAAGGAACCUAAACGAGAUUAGCUAUUUGGUGAGGUAAAGGCUCACAAGGCAACAAUCUCU
rnacentral:rRNA from 1 species